AUGAGCUCACAGUGCCUGCACUUUACCCCAGUAGCCCUGAAGUGUGGGCCCCGUACCCUCUGUACCCAGCGGAGUUAGCGCCUGCUCUACCUCCUCCUGCUUUCACCUAUCCCGCUUCACUGCAUGCCCAGUGUUUCUCUCCUGAGGCAAAGCCCAACACACCUGUCUUUUGUCCACUUCUCCAGCAAAUUAGAUUUGUCUCUGGGAAUGUGUUUGUAACAUAUCAACCUACUGCAGACCAGCAGAGGGAGCUCCCAUGUUGAAUUUGUUAGCUAUUUUUUCCCCCUUUGCAAAAACUUUCUUGGUGCAUUUGAGAGAUUUCAAUAAAAAUUUUAAUCAGAGCAAAAAUGA